UGUUAUGGAAGCCGGGAAGGUCCACAUUCCAAAGUGGAAGUCGAACCAUAUCAUUUCACAUCCUGAUUGAACAAUAAGAUUGCUUAUCACUUGGUAGCACUUGCUCUGCUUUGAGAAGAGCUCAGCUGGCAAUGGCGGUCGGAGCUACUGCCCCCGAAUGGGCCACCAACGCACAAUCUGGAAAACGCAGCAUCGUGAUCUUUGCAGCCUCAAAGUCGAGCAGGCAAUCCCUCGGUUUCAUCUGUCAUCAUGGUCCUAAAUUCAAGGCAUGCUCUCUUUCCCUGAAUGGUUGCGGGCGUCAAGGACUUGCGCAGCAUCCAGCAAUCCCAGUCGUUAUUAUUGAAACACGCACUCUUCCCUCAGUUGCAUCGCCGGCAUUGGCUAUGGACGCCCUCAACUCCGCCGUCUCCCACCUGAUUUCCCAACCUCCUCUGUCUACCUCCGGCAUCAUCCGCCUCCAGGUGGCGAUUGAAGAGCAGAUUGAAGCUAUUGAUUGGCUCCAUUCCCAACCCGAACUUUUGCUUCCUCGCUGCUUUUUCUCAGGUCGAGCGACACAACCCUCUCUUGGGAAUGGUCACAGUUCAAUGUCUAUGGCCUCCGAACACAAAUUGGUCAGCGUCGCCGGUGUCGGUUCCGCAAUCUACUUCCGGCAGCCACAUCCUUUUUCUUACGACGACUGGCUUUCCAUCAAAAGGUUUCUUUCUGAGAGGUGCCCAUUAAUCAGAGCUUAUGGAGCUAUUCGUUUCAACCCUAAAGCUAAGGUGUCGCCCGAGUGGCUGCCUUUUGGUUCUUUUUACUUCGUGAUUCCUCAGGUCGAGUUUGAUGAGCUCGAAGGAACGUCGAUGAUUGCUGCAACUAUUGCAUGGGAUAAUGCUCUUUCCUGGUCAUGGGAAAACGCAGUCAAUGCACUCCGGGCAACACUUCGCAAGGUUUCUUCUUUCAUCGUGAAGUUUCCAAAACAGGCUCCCCGAACAUCCAUAAUAAUCAGUCAUAACAUUCCCUCUAAGGUAGAGUGGGAUCUUGCUGUUAACAGAGCUUUGCAAAUGAUCCAGAAAAACCACUCCUUACUAACCAAGGUUGUGCUAGCCCGAAGUACCAGAGUAGUGCCUACUGCUGACAUUGAUCCUCUAUCGUGGUUAGCAUCCUUACAGGUUGAAGGUGCAGGUGCAUACCAGUUUUUCCUACAGCCAUCUGAUGCACCAGCCUUCAUUGGAAACACACCAGAGCAACUAUUUCACAGAAAAUGGCUUCACAUAACUAGUGAAGCCUUGGCUGGAACCCGUGCAAGAGGUGCAACAACAGCACUAGAUCAUCAAAUUGAACUAUAUUUACUUUCCAGUCCAAAGGAGGAUAUGGAGUUUGCUAUAGUCAGAGAGACCAUAAGAAGUAAAUUGGAGCAUUCUUCUGAACAGGCAGUAUGCGAGAAUGUACUGAUGAAACCAAGCAAAGCAAUAAGAAAACUCCCAAGGAUCCAACAUUUAUUUGCCCAAUUAGCCGGCAGGCUAAGAAGCGAAGAAGAUGAGUUUGAAAUUUUGUCAUCACUUCAUCCAAGUCCUGCAGUUUGUGGGUUUCCCACAGAAGAGGCACGAAUUUUAAUUGCAGAAACAGAAGUAUUUGAUCGAGGAAUGUAUGCUGGACCUGUUGGUUGGUUUGGAGGUGGGGAGAGUGAAUUUGCUGUUGGCAUCAGGUCAGCUUUGGUGGAAAAGGAUAUGGGAGCAUGGAUAUAUGCUGGAACAGGUAUAGUGGAAGGAAGCAAUCCUUACUUAGAGUGGGAUGAGCUAGAACUCAAGACAUCUCAGCACCCUGCUACAAUUACUGACUGCCUUCAUGCAUGUUGAUGCAUGCGGUAGUUCACCAAGUUGCUCAAACUCGACUUGCCUCACAGACAAAAAGUUGAUGUAUAUGAGCAUUGAGUACCAUCUAUCUAUUGAUAAGUGAAUGAAGUUGGGUGCAAUCUUGUUUCACUGUGGUAUCAGCAUGGCAUCUGUAAAGUCAAAGCAUAAUAGGGAAUAUCAACAGUUGAAUGUCCAGCAAUGGCAGUGACCAUAUUGAAGCGGUGUUUUGGGGAAGCGCGCUUACAAUGAACAAAAUGCUGGGCCUGCUUGUUGCUCAUUGGAGGGCAUCCAUCCGGUGACUAUUAAUAUUUUGUUGGCUAAGGACCCGACAUUUAAAUUUAUUAAAUUUAAAAAAAUAUUCUUGUAAGGUUCGUUAAUAAUCUGCUCUAAUGUAACCUACCUUGAAAGCUAGUUUUAGGUGGUUAUGUAUGAUGAAUGUGGAUGCAAGUACAGCGUCUCAACUGAGUGGUGCUGGAUGGCAGGCAUUCCAUUCAUCUGGCUUUAAGUGAAGUGGAAAGUGAGUCAAUUCGAUAUAAUGCUAAAUUUACUAGUAAAAUUUAGGGAGAAUUGUACUGCAGGCCUUAAAUCAGCAAAAAAAUUUUAAUUAAACCCAAUAUAUUCUGAUAUUGCAUUGUACGUCCGAAGGCUAUUGUUGCAAUUUUUUAGGCACGAAAGUACAAUUUUGCCCUUAUGAUGUACGAUACAAUGUUCAUGGAUGUACAAUAACAUAUUCAUGCAUGUCCAAUUGAUUUGUAUGUUAAAAUAUAUAUCACACAGAGCAUGUACAAUAUGAUUUCAUGAAUUUUCAACACAAUAUUUAUAUAUGUUCAGUUGAUCUAUAGGUUAAUUAAAAUAAAUUCAUGUAAAGUAUGUGUAACACAAUAUUUAUAGAUACAUAACAUGAUGUUCAUAAAUGCACAACAUGGUAUUUAUAAAUUCUCAAUACAAUGUUUAUGUGUAUCCAUGCUUGAACACCUAGUUGAAAAAUGUAUAAAUAUUGUGUUGUAUAUUGUGUGCGUCACUUAUAUAUUUUAUUAAAUCUAUUGAUCAAUUAAACAUAUAUAGACAUUAUGUUGUGCAUUGACAGGCAUUGUAUUGUGCAUGAUUUGAGUUUUCAAAUUAUAUAGGGGUAAAAUUGUAUUUUUGCUCUUAAGAAAAAUUGUAACAAGAGCCUUUGGGCCAACACUGCAAUAACAGAAUCUAUUGGGUUUGUAGUGUAAUUUUUUGCUCUUUUGAGUUGAGGUCUGUAGUGUGAUUUCUCCUAAAA